rnacentral:sRNA from 1 species
CGGCUCCUUCUUUUCAACGUGUGGCGCUGGCCUCCAGAGCCUCACAGGGGCACCACGCCUAUUGCAGGCCAUUGCCAAGGACAACAUCAUCCCCUUCCUCCGGGUGAGCCCCUCUGCACUCCCCCAUGGCCUGGCUGCUCCCAGGCCCUCGCCCGGCUGGGGAGAGAGAUAGGGAACACAGAUGCAGCACAUCCUGCCCUUAUUGGCCCCCGGGGCCAGGCGGCCAUCCAUGAGGAGCUACUGAGAAGUGCCCUGGGCCUGGAGCUGCCUGGACCCAGAAUCUUCAUGGCCUGUUUAGGGCUCAUCCAAAGGAGAGAGGCCUGGUGAGGUGGAAUCAGGGAGACUGGGCAGGGGGAUGGUCUGGGAAAGGCUUCCUGAACCCCAGCACCUCCCCGUGGCUGCGUCUGGUGUUGGAGGUCCAGCUGGGAGAUGUGGCAGGCUGCAUGGGGAGAUGUGGCCUGACAGGGCUCAGCCCACCCCUGCAUUUAGGAGCAAGCCUGGCACCUAUGCCAAAGCUAUAAGGUGACCAAUAUGUCCACACCUCCCUGAGGCCCCCAGAG